GUGUGUGUGUGUGUGUGUGUGUGUGUGUGUAGAUAUAUAUCUACACACACACACAUACACAAA
rnacentral:miRNA from 14 species